GAAGGGUUAAAAUGACCGGAAGGCCAAAAUCUGUCGAACAGAUCACGUAAUGUGUCUAUGCGGAAGUGUGUAUCGGACUGGGUGUAGUCGUGUAUUGGGAAUAUAGAAAAGGGGAAAAGUAUAAAUGGGAUCAACAAACCACGGAUAGUCACAGCCUGGUUUUACAGUUGUCGUGAAAACAUAAACUCAAGAUGAAAUCAUUCGCCCUCGUCGCCAUUGCUCUGUUCGCCUGCCUCGGCAUGACCUUCGCCGCCUACUACGGCUACGGUUACCCCGGAUACGCUGCUAUCGGCGCCGGCAGCAGGGGAUCCGGCGGUCUCGGGGACAGCGGACUGCUGAUGCUGAUCGGCCUACUCUUCCUCCUGACGUUCCUGUUCAACAGCAAUCUGUUCAACACCACCGCUACCACCACCAGCUCCGCCACCCCCAUCACACUCGUCCAGGGUUAAAUGAUUAAUGGUUGCAGAAUGCCGUCAGAUGUCAAGGAAAAGUUCGUCUGUCUGCUAUUUAUUUAUUGUUAUUGUUGAAUAAAA